rnacentral:rRNA from 1 species
GAUGAACGCUGGCGGCGUGCCUAAUACAUGCAAGUAGAACGCUGAAGGAGGAGCUUGCUCUUCUGGAUGAGUUGCGAACGGGUGAGUAACGCGUAGGUAACCUGCCUGGUAGCGGGGGAUAACUAUUGGAAACGAUAGCUAAUACCGCAUGACAACAGUUAUUGCAUGAUAACUGUUUAAAAGGGGCAACUGCUCCACUACCAGAUGGACCUGCGUUGUAUUAGCUAGUUGGUGAGGUAACGGCUCACCAAGGCGACGAUACAUAGCCGACCUGAGAGGGUGAUCGGCCACACUGGGACUGAGACACGGCCCAGACUCCUACGGGAGGCAGCAGUAGGGAAUCUUCGGCAAUGGACGGAAGUCUGACCGAGCAACGCCGCGUGAGUGGAGAAGGUUUUCGGAUCGUAAAGCUCUGUUGUAAGAGAAGAACGAGUGUGAGAGUGGAAAGUUCACACUGUGACGGUAGCUUACCAGAAAGGGACGGCUAACUACGUG